GACUUAAAAUCCGUCGACUUUUUAAAUCGUGAGGGUUCAAGUCCCUCUAUCCCC
rnacentral:tRNA from 2 species